GUAUUUGCUUCUUAGGCACAUACCUAUACUAAAAUUGGAACGAUACAGAAAAAAAUUAGCAUGGCCCCUGCGUAAGGAUGACAGGCAAAAUCAUAAAGCUUUCCACAUUUUC